CUGGAAGGGCGGAGGGUCGCUCCGGGCUUCGGUCCGGGGAGGAAAGUCCGAACUUCACAGGGCGCGAUGCCGCGUAACCUUUCGUCGCAAGGCGCAGGGAUACACGCGGGCACCCCGGGGGAAACGCCGGAGUGACGGAUAGUGCCACAGAGAACAUACCGCCUUCCUCAGCUCGCUGUGGAAGGUAAGGGUGAAAAGGCGGGGUAAGAGCCCACCGCCCGGUGCGCAAGCCCCGGGGCACGGAAAACCCCAUCGGAAGCAAGGCCAAAUAGGGGACCUCGAGGCGGCCCGCCUCACGUUCUGCGGCAACGCAGAGCGGGUCCCGGGUAUCGGUCGCUUAGACAAAUGACUCUCUCCGGGCAGGCUCCGGUCUGCCCGCAGACAGAAUUCGGCUUACAGCCCUUCCAGAAUC
rnacentral:RNase_P_RNA from 1 species